ensembl:snRNA U6 U6 spliceosomal RNA
GUGCUCACUUCACAGCGCAUAUACUAAAAUUGGAACGAUACCGAGAUUAGCAUGACCCCUGCACAAGGACCACAUGCACACUGUGAAGCAUUCCAUAUUUUU